UACAGAGGGGGCAAGCGUUGUUCGGAAUUACUGGGCGUAAAGGGCGCGUAGGCGGCCUGUUAAGUCGAACGUGAAAUCCCCGGGCUCAACCCGGGAACUGCGUCCGAUACUGGCAGGCUUGAAUCCGGGAGAGGGAUGCGGAAUUCCAGGUGUAGCGGUGAAAUGCGCAGAUAUCAGGAGGAACACCAAUUGCGAAGGCAGCUCCGCUGGGACGUUAAGCUGACG
rnacentral:rRNA from 1 species